CGCUGGCGGCGUGCCUAAUACAUGCAAGUCGAGCGAACGGACGAGAAGCUUGCUUCUCUGAUGUUAGCGGCGGACGGGUGAGUAACACGUGGAUAACCUACCUAUAAGACUGGGAUAACUUCGGGAAACCGGAGCUAAUACCGGAUAAUAUUUUGAACCGCAUGGUUCAAAAGUGAAAGGCGGUCUUGCUGUCACUUAUAGAUGGAUCCGCGCUGCAUUAGCUAGUUGGUAAGGUAGCGGCUUACCUAGGCAACGAUGCAUAGCCGACCUGAGAGGGUGAUCGGCCACACUGGAACUGAGACACGAUCCAGACUCCUACGGGAGGCAGCAGUAGGGAAUCUUCCGCAAUGGGCGAAAGCCUGACGGAGCAACGCCGCGUGAGUGAUGAAGGUCUUCGGAUCGUAAAACUCUGUUAUUAGGGAAGAACAUAUGUGUAAGUAACUGUGCACAUCUUGACGGUACCUAAUCAGAAAGCCACGGCUAACUACGUGCCAGCAGCCGCGGUAAUACGUAGGUGGCAAGCGUUAUCCGGAAUUAUUGGGCGUAAAGCGCGCGUAGGCGGUUUUUUAAGCCUGAUGUGAAAGCCCACGGCUCAACCGUGGAGGGUCAUUGGAAACUGGAAAACUUGAGUGCAGAAGAGGAAAGUGGAAUUCCAUGUGUAGCGGUGAAAUGCGCAGAGAUAUGGAGGAACACCAGUGGCGAAGGCGACUUUCUGGUCUGUAACUGACGCUGAUGUGCGAAAGCG
rnacentral:rRNA from 1 species